rnacentral:rRNA from 1 species
UACGGAAGGGGCAAGCGUUGUUCGGAAUCAUUGGGCGUAAAGGGCGCGUAGGUGGUUCUGUAUGUCUACCGUGAAAGCAUACAGCUCAACUGUAUUUUGUCGGUAGAAACUGCAGGACUUGAGGCUGGGAGGGGCUGGUGGAAUUCCCUGUGUAGCGGUGAAAUGCGUAGAGAUGGGGGAGAACACUCGUGGCGAAGGCGGCCGAGCUAGACCAGUUCUGACACUGAGGCGCGACAGCGUGGGGAGCAAACAGG